rnacentral:rRNA from 1 species
UGUAGUCUCAACGAUGAUGCAUACAUGUCUACUAUGGGUGUUGGGUCCAAUAAUUCGCAUUGGUCUCAAACCAAUGACAUCCAUUUCGAAGAUCAUGAGUUUGAGGUGGACGAGGAGGGUGAGGGAAUUGUCGAGGCGCCGAAAGGAAGAGCGGGCAAUUACUCAACCAACGAUGACAAGUUUGUUGGAAAUAUGCCCUAG